rnacentral:rRNA from 1 species
GCCUAAAAGCUAGCCCCCCAAAACGAAACCAACGCAAAACUAUUAAUAACCCCUAAUAAACUUAAUAAAGAUAAACAAACCAUUUAACCCCUUUAGUACGGGCGACAGAAAAAGGACUAUGGAGCAAUAGAGAAAGUACCGCAAGGGACUGCUGAAAGAGAAGUGAAAUAAACCAGUAAAGCUUAGAAAAGCAGAGAUGAAAACUCGUACCUUUUGCAUCAUGAUUUAGCUAGUGUAACUUAAGCGAAGUGUACUGUAGUUUAUUACCCGAAACUAAGUGAGCUACUCCAAGGCAGCCUAUAAAUAGGGCCAACCCGUCUCUGUGGCAAAAGAGUGGGAUGAACUUUGAGUAGAGGUGACAGACCUACCGAACUUAGUUAUAGCUGGUUGCCUAAGAGUUGAAUAGAAGUUCAGCCCCUAGACUUUUUUGUUUCUACUGCUGUAGCCUACGCAAAUAUAAAGAAAUCUAGGGAGUUAUUCAAAGGGGGUACAGCCCCUUUGAAAAAUGAUACAACUUUUAUAGGAGGAUAAAGAUCAUAAUUUUUAAGGUAAUAUACCCGAGUGGGCCUAAAAGCAGCCAUCUCUGAAGAAAGCGUUAAAGCUCAAGUAUAAAUUUAGCCUAAGAUACUGAUAAUUAAUCUUACUCCCCUAGCCUUACUAGGCCUUUCUAUUUUUAUAGAAGUGAUAAUGCUAAUAUGAGUAAUAAGAGAGACAAGUCUCUCUCCACGCACACGUGUAAAUCGAAACGGACAACCCAUCGAACCUUAACGGCCCCAAACAAAGAGGGUAAUGAGUAAAAAAUAAAGAACUAGAAAAAACCUCACAAAUGACCGUUACCCCAACACAGGUGUGCCCCUAAGGAAAGACUAAAAGAGAGAGAAGGAACUCGGCAAAUAUUUAAAGCCUCGCCUGUUUACCAAAAACAUCGCCUCUUGUUUAUUAUACAUAAGAGGUCCUGCCUGCCCUGUGACACUCAGUUUAACGGCCGCGGUAUUUUGACCGUGCAAAGGUAGCGAAAUCACUUGUCUAUUAAAUGUAGACCUGUAUGAAUGGCAAAACGAGGGCUUAACUGUCUCCUUUCUCAAGUCAAUGAAAUUGAUCUCCCCGUGCAGAAGCGGGGCUUAACCCAUAAGACGAGAAGACCCUAUGGAGCUUUAGAUAAUAGAAUAGCUCACGUUAAGAACCCCCUGACAAGGGGCUAAACAUAAUGAACCCUGUUCUUAUAUCUUUGGUUGGGGCGACCGCGGAGAAAUAAAUAACCUCCACGUGGAAUAGUAAUACAAUUACUUCACCCAAGAGUGACAGCUCUAGUGAACAGAACUUCUGACCUAAAGAUCCGGUAACACCGAUCAACGAACCGAGUUACCCUAGGGAUAACAGCGCAAUCCCCUUUUAGAGCCCAUAUCGACAAGGGGGUUUACGACCUCGAUGUUGGAUCAGGACAUCCUAAUGGUGCAGCCGCUAUUAAGGGUUCGUUUGUUCAACGAUUAAAGUCCUACGUGAUCUGAGUUCAGACCGGAGUAAUCCAGGUCAGUUUCUAUCUAUGACAUGUUCUUUUCUAGUACGAAAGGACCGAAAAGAAAAGGCCAAUUUUAUAAAAACGCCUUACCCCCACCUGAUGAAGGAAACUAAAUUAGGCAAGAGGACAUAUUCCCCUUGUCGAAAAUAACGACAU